CAAGGUAAAGCUAAAUAAGUAAAGCGUCUCAGUUACAUCGAGAAGAAUUGUCGUGCAAUUCGACUUGCUUUGA
rnacentral:tRNA from 1 species